ensembl:snRNA U6 U6 spliceosomal RNA
GUGCUCGUUUUGGCAGCACGUAUACUAACGUUGGAAUGUUAACAGAGAAGAUUAGCAUGGCCCCUGUGCAAGAAUGACACGCAAAUUCGUGAAGCGGUCCAUGUUUUU